rnacentral:rRNA from 1 species
CCUACGGGAGGCAGCAGUGGGGGAUAUUGGACAAUGGGGGGAACCCUGAUCCAGCGACGCCGCGUGAGUGAAGAAGUAUUUCGGUAUGUAAAGCUCUGUCAGCAGGGCAGAAAGAAAUGACGGUACCUGACCAAGAAGCCCCGGCUAACUACGUGCCAGCAGCCGCGGUACUACGUAGGGGGCAAGCGUUAUCCGGAAUUACUGGGGGUAAAGGGGGCGUAGACGGUUAAGUAAGUCUGGUGUGAAAGGCCGGGGCCCAACCCCGGGACUGCCCUGGAAACUAUUGAACUUGAGUGCAGGAGAGGUAAGCGGAAUUCCUAGUGUAGCGGUGAAAUGCGUAGAUAUUAGGAGGAACAUCAGUGGCGAAGGCGGCUUACUGGACCGUAACUGACGUUGAGGCUCGAAAGCGUGGGGAGCAAACAGGAUUAGAUACCCCUGUAGUC